AUCUGGCUCAGGAUAACGCGGCGGCGUGCUUAACACAUGCAAGUCGAGCGAUGAAGUUUCCUUCGGGAAACGGAUUAGCGGCGGACGGGUGAGUAACACGUGGGUAACCUGCCUCAUAGAGUGGAAUAGCCUUCCGAAAGGAAGAUUAAUACCGCAUAACGUUGAAAGAUGGCAUCAUCAUUUAACCAAAGGAGCAAUCCGCUAUGAGAUGGACCCGCGGCGCAUUAGCUAGUUGGUGGGGUAACGGCCUACCAAGGCGACGAUGCGUAGCCGACCUGAGAGGGUGAUCGGCCACAUUGGGACUGAGACACGGCCCAGACUCCUACGGGAGGCAGCAGUGGGGAAUAUUGCACAAAUGGGGGAAACCCUGAUGCAGCAACG
rnacentral:rRNA from 1 species